ensembl:ncRNA C45B2.14 ncRNA
UUAUAUUUCUUGAGGCGAUAAUAGACAACCCUGCAAAAGCACUUCACUUUUGAACCUUGUUUUUAUGAUGAUUGACCAUGGGAUUUAGCUAAGGUUGAAAAAGCGAUUGGUCACCAAUGCUCUGAUAGUCUAAAAUGCAAAUAUACUAGUCAGAUUGGUAUGAGUUAAUUUCAGAAUGCUCGAAAAAACUCUAACACUA